GGGUGGCUGCAGUGGGGAAUAUUGGACAAUGGGGGCAACCCUGAUCCAGCCAUGCCGCGUGAGUGAUGAAGGCCUUAGGGUUGUAAAGCUCUUUCACCGGUGAAGAUAAUGACGGUAACCGGAGAAGAAGCCCCGGCUAACUUCGUGCCAGCAGCCGCGGUAAUACGAAGGGGGCUAGCGUUGUUCGGAUUUACUGGGCGUAAAGCGCACGUAGGCGGAUAUUUAAGUCAGAGGUGAAAUCCCAGGGCUCAACCCUGGAACUGCCUUUGAUACUGGGUAUCUUGAGUAUGGAAGAGGUGAGUGGAAUUCCGAGUGUAGAGGUGAAAUUCGUAGAUAUUCGGAGGAACACCAGUGGCGAAGGCGGCUCACUGGUCCAUUACUGACGCUGAGGUGCGAAAGCGUGGGGAGCAAACAGGAUUAGAUACCCCUG
rnacentral:rRNA from 1 species